UCAGACGAUGCGUCAUGCAUAUCAAUAAGCGGAGGAAAAGAAACUAACAAGGAUUCCCCUAGUAACGGCGAGUGAAGCGGGAAGAGCUCAAAUUUGAAAUCUUAAAGGGCUUUCCCUUUACGAAUUGUAGUUUAAAGAAGUGUUUUCUGUUGAGGUUUUGGUAAAAGUUCUUUGGAAUAGGACAUCAUAGAGGGUGAGAAUCCCGUAUUUGACCUUUACUUUCAACUUUGUGAUACACUUUCAAAGAGUCGGAUUGUUUGGGAAUGCAGUCCAAAAUGGGUGGUAAAUUUCAUCUAAAGCUAAAUAUUGGCGAGGAGACCGAUAGCGAACAAGUACCGUGAGGGAAAGAUGAAAAGAACUUUGAAAAGAGAGUUAAACAGUACGUGAAAUUGUCAAAAGGGAAGCGUUUGACACCAGUGUUGUCUUUCUGAAAAUCAAUUAAAGAACUGUUUAUGCUAAGUUGUUUAGACUUUAUCAGCUAUCUGUUUAGUUUUGAGCUUUUCUUUAAUGCACUUUUCAGUUAACAAGUCAACAUCAAUUUCUUUUGCUGUAAAAAAGCUUGAGGAAGGUGGCUUGAGAUUCGUCUUAAGUGUUUAUAGCCUCUUGCCUAUGCAGUCGGAGAGAUAUGAGGUCUGCAGCGUAGAUCCUUCGGGGCUAAAUGCAUUUGUGCUAAGUUAUAGCAUUUUAUAGACAACUUGUUGACUAUGAUUUGUCUUGUAGCUUACUCGCUUAUGUUAUUUACCUACGCUUAGGAUGUUGACACACGCGCGUGCUCG
rnacentral:rRNA from 1 species